rnacentral:rRNA from 1 species
GACGAACCGUGCAAACGUUAUUCGGAAUCACUGGGCUUAAAGGGCGCGUAGGCGGAUUGCCAAGUCGGUGGUGAAAUCGUUCGGCCCAACCGGACAAGUGCCGCCGAUACUGGCAGUCUCGAGGGAGGUAGGGGGUCGAGGGAACUGGUGGUGGAGCGGUGAAAUGCGUAGAUAUCACUAGGAACGCCGGUGGCGAAAGCGGCUCUCUCGGGACGGUACUGACGCUGAGACGCGAAAGCGUGGGGAGCGAACAGG